rnacentral:rRNA from 1 species
GGUUAAGCGACUAAGCGUACACGGUGGAUGCCCUGGCAGUCAGAGGCGAUGAAGGACGUGCUAAUCUGCGAAAAGCGUCGGUAAGGUGAUAUGAACCGUUACAGCCGGCGAUGUCCGAAUGGGGAAACCCAGUGCAAUUCGUUGCACUAUCGUUAACUGAAUACAUAGGUUAACGAGGCGAACCGGGGGAACUGAAACAUCUAAGUACCCCGAGGAAAAGAAAUCAACCGAGAUUCCCCCAGUAGCGGCGAGCGAACGGGGAGCAGCCCAGAGUCUGAAUCAGCUUGUGUGUUAGUGGAACGGUCUGGAAAGUCCGACGGUACAGGGUGAUAGUCCCGUACACCAAAAUGCACAGGUUGUGAACUCGAAGAGUAGGGCGGGACACGUGGUAUCCUGUCUGAAUAUGGGGGGACCAUCCUCCAAGGCUAAAUACUCCUGACUGACCGAUAGUGAACCAGUACCGUGAGGGAAAGGCGAAAAGAACCCCGGCGAGGGGAGUGAAAAAGAACCUGAAACCGUGUACGUACAAGCAGUGGGAGCACCUUUAUGGUGUGACUGCGUACCUUUUGUAUAAUGGGUCAGCGACUUAUAUUCUGUAGCAAGGUUAACCGUAUAGGGGAGCCGCAGGGAAACCGAGUCUUAACUGGGCGUUAAGUUGCAGGGUAUAGACCCGAAACCCGGUGAUCUAGCCAUGGGCAGGUUGAAGGUUGGGUAACACUAACUGGAGGACCGAACCGACUAAUGUUGAAAAAUUAGCGGAUGACUUGUGGCUGGGGGUGAAAGGCCAAUCAAACCGGGAGAUAGCUGGUUCUCCCCGAAAGCUAUUUAGGUAGCGCCUCGUGAAUUCAUCUUCGGGGGUAGAGCACUGUUUCGGCUAGGGGGUCAUCCCGACUUACCAACCCGAUGCAAACUACGAAUACCGAAGAAUGUUAUCACGGGAGACACACGGCGGGUGCUAACGUCCGUCGUGAAGAGGGAAACAACCCAGACCGCCAGCUAAGGUCCCAAAGUCACAGUUAAGUGGGAAACGAUGUGGGAAGGCACAGACAGCCAGGAUGUUGGCUUAGAAGCAGCCAUCAUUUAAAGAAAGCGUAAUAGCUCACUGGUCGAGUCGGCCUGCGCGGAAGAUGUAACGGGGCUAAACUGUGCACCGAAGCUGCGGCAGCGACACUUAGGUGUUGUUGGGUAGGGGAGCGUUCUGUAAGCCUGCGAAGGUGGCCUGUGAGGGUUGCUGGAGGUAUCAGAAGUGCGAAUGCUGACAUAAGUAACGAUAAUGCGGGUGAAAAGCCCGCACGCCGGAAGACCAAGGGUUCCUGUCCAACGUUAAUCGGGGCAGGGUGAGUCGACCCCUAAGGCGAGGCCGAAAGGCGUAGUCGAUGGGAAACAGGUUAAUAUUCCUGUACUUGGUGUUACUGCGAAGGGGGGACGGAGAAGGCUAUGUUAGCCGGGCGACGGUUGUCCCGGUUUAAGCAUGUAGGCGGAGGUUCCAGGUAAAUCCGGUACCUUAUUAACGCUGAGGUGUGAUGACGAGGCACUACGGUGCUGAAGUAACAAAUGCCCUGCUUCCAGGAAAAGCCUCUAAGCAUCAGGUAACAUUAAAUCGUACCCCAAACCGACACAGGUGGUCAGGUAGAGAAUACCAAGGCGCUUGAGAGAACUCGGGUGAAGGAACUAGGCAAAAUGGUGCCGUAACUUCGGGAGAAGGCACGCUGAUAUGUAGGUGAAGCCCCUGCGGGUGGAGCUGAAAUCAGUCGAAGAUACCAGCUGGCUGCAACUGUUUAUUAAAAACACAGCACUGUGCAAACACGAAAGUGGACGUAUACGGUGUGACGCCUGCCCGGUGCCGGAAGGUUAAUUGAUGGGGUUAUCCGUAAGGAGAAGCUCUUGAUCGAAGCCCCGGUAAACGGCGGCCGUAACUAUAACGGUCCUAAGGUAGCGAAAUUCCUUGUCGGGUAAGUUCCGACCUGCACGAAUGGCGUAAUGAUGGCCAGGCUGUCUCCACCCGAGACUCAGUGAAAUUGAACUCGCUGUGAAGAUGCAGUGUACCCGCGGCAAGACGGAAAGACCCCGUGAACCUUUACUAUAGCUUGACACUGAACAUUGAGCCUUGAUGUGUAGGAUAGGUGGGAGGCUUUGAAGCGUGGACGCCAGUCUGCGUGGAGCCAACCUUGAAAUACCACCCUUUAAUGUUUGAUGUUCUAACGUUGGCCCCUAAUCGGGGUUGCGGACAGUGUCUGGUGGGUAGUUUGACUGGGGCGGUCUCCUCCCAAAGAGUAACGGAGGAGCACGAAGGUUAGCUAAUCCUGGUCGGACAUCAGGAGGUUAGUGCAAUGGCAUAAGCUAGCUUGACUGCGAGCGUGACGGCGCGAGCAGGUGCGAAAGCAGGUCAUAGUGAUCCGGUGGUUCUGAAUGGAAGGGCCAUCGCUCAACGGAUAAAAGGUACUCCGGGGAUAACAGGCUGAUACCGCCCAAGAGUUCAUAUCGACGGCGGUGUUUGGCACCUCGAUGUCGGCUCAUCACAUCCUGGGGCUGAAGUAGGUCCCAAGGGUAUGGCUGUUCGCCAUUUAAAGUGGUACGCGAGCUGGGUUUAGAACGUCGUGAGACAGUUCGGUCCCUAUCUGCCGUGGGCGCUGGAGAAUUGAGGGGGGCUGCUCCUAGUACGAGAGGACCGGAGUGGACGCAUCACUGGUGUUCGGGUUGUCAUGCCAAUGGCAUUGCCCGGUAGCUAAAUGCGGAAGAGAUAAGUGCUGAAAGCAUCUAAGCACGAAACUUGCCCCGAGAUGAGUUCUCCCUGAGACUUUAAGUCUCCUGAAGGAACGUUAAAGACGAUGACGUUGAUAGGUCGGGUGUGUAAGCGUAGCGAUACGUUGAGCUAACCGAUACUAAUGAACCGUGAGGCUUAACCUU